UGGUGGAGUGAUUUGUCUGGUUAAUUCCGUUAACGAACGAGACCUUAGCCUGCUAAAUAGUCGUACCGAUCGCGAUCGGGACCGACUUCUUAGAGGGACUUUGUGGCACUAAACACAAGGAAGUUUGAGGCAAUAACA
rnacentral:rRNA from 1 species